CAACAACCUAGCCCCACCAACCCAAAUGAAACUACUACCCCCCCCGCCAUGAAAUAAAACAUUUUACAUUUAAGUAAGGGCGACCAAAAAAAGUAUCCGGAGCUACGACAUAAGUACCGUAAGGGAAAGCUGAAAUAAAAAUGAAAAACAUCAAGCACAACAAAGUAGAGAAUUAACCUCGUACCUUUCGCAUCAUGGUUUAGCUAGUACAACCAAGCACAAUGAAACUUAAGUUUGACCCCCCGAAACUAAGCGAGCUACUUCAAAACAGCCUCCUAGGGCCAACCCGUCUCUGUUGCAAAAGAGUGGGAAGAUUUUCAAGUAGAAGUGACAGACCUACCGAGCUUAGAGAUAGCUGGUUAUUCAGGAAAAGGAUGUAAGUCCUACCUUAAGUUAAUAGUAAAAAAUAAUACUACCAACAACUUAAGAGCUAUUCUAAUAAGGUACAGCCUGUUAGAAAAAGAAGACAAUCUACAACUCAGGGUAAUGACCCAACUAGGAACAAAGUGGGCCUAAAAGCAGCCAACUUUCAAAAAACGUCAAAGCUUACUUCCUCAGUACUCAAAUUCCUAAACCCUUACAAAACCCUAMCCAACUACUGAAUGAUUUCAUAUAACUAUGAAAGACCCAAUGCUAAAACAAGUAACAAGAAGAAGCCCUUCUCCUAAAUGUAAAUGUAAGCCGACACGAACAAUUCAUCGACAAUUAUAGUAUUUGAAUUUAAAGUAGAAACCACCCAAGAAAACCCUACUUUGCUAAACUUUAACCUGACACAAGAACAUUACAGGAAAGAUUAAAAGAAAAGGAAGGAACUCGGCAAACCUAAGACCCCGCCUGUUUACCAAAAACAUCGCCUCCUGAAAACCAUAGGAGGUCCCGCCUGCCCAGUGACACCUGUUCAACGGCCGCGGUACCCUAACCGUGCGAAGGUAGCGCAAUCACUUGUUCCUUAAAUGGGGACCUGUAUGAAUGGCACCACGAAGGUCAAGCUGUCUCCCUUUUCCAAUCAGUUAAACUAAUCUCCCCGUGAAGAAGCGAGGAUAAAAAUAUAAGACGAGAAGACCCCAUGGAGCUUAAAACUCAGUAUCAACUGCCAUUAACACACCAUAUAAGCCAGGCAGACAUGCUAAUACUAGUUUUCGGUUGGGGUGACCACGGAGCAAAACAAAACCUCCACGACGAAAGGAACUGCCUACCUAAUCAAAGAACAACGCUUCAAAGAAUCAAUAAUUUGACAUAUUGACCCAAACACUUGAUCAACGAACCAAGUUACCCUGGGGAUAACAGCGCAAUCCACUUCAAGAGCCCCUAUCGACAAGUGGGUUUACGACCUCGAUGUUGGAUCAGGGUCUCCUAGUGGUGCAGCCGCUACUAAAGGUUCGUUUGUUCAACGAUUAAAACCCUACGUGAUCUGAGUUCAGACCGGAGUAAUCCAGGUCGGUUUCUAUCUAUACAGAGUUUUUCCCAGUACGAAAGGACCCGAAUAACAUGGCCAAUUUCUAAUACGCCAUAGCUACAAACUAAUGACUCUAACUCAACUAUAAACUAGCCUACAAAUCAACUUAAGACAAAAAUGU
rnacentral:rRNA from 1 species